AUUAAAAAUGAGGGUGAGUUCAACCAACUCAGUGAGGGGAAUAACAUUUAAUAUACAUUUCAUAUAUUUCAGAUAUUAUUUGCAAGAUGAUUUAUCUUGAUAUACAUAUACAUAUACAUAUACUUACUAAACAUAUUAUCAUAACGUAGCAUAUUAUCAUAACGUAGUGGAUUACAUGUCAGAGAACAGAUGACACCCGAAGGUGACCAGAUGACACCCGUCGGUGACCACUGUGGGAUGAUCAAUCACCACAGGCUGAUGCCUCUCUCACCAGCUAGGUAACAGAAUACUAUGUGCACACAGGCUAACUAUUCUCCGUUAGCAUGGAGUACUGACAAGUCCCAUAUCAAGGCAUAACAGAUAUUCACAUAAUCAUCAAAGAAGCGUAUAUCAUAUCAAAUAGAAUUUACUUUAUCAGAUUGCGAGUGCAAAUUCAAGAAUAAAUGAGUACUCGGAAAAUAAAGCAACAUAUAUAAAUAUUCAAGAAAUUACUAGUCGUACUCAUUGUAUAAUCAACAUACAUAUUUAUUUAUAUUAUAUGCAUAUUAAAGAUUAUUCCACUCACCCGGAAAAUACUGAACUAAAGGAAUGUCAGGCAAAAGACCCGAAAAUCCGAUUAAGGAUCGUUAGGAGAACCUACAAUAAAUAUAUGAAAUAUACUCAAAAACAAAUCAAACAAAAGAUACAAAUGCAUAAAAUAAACUGGGCUUAAUCUCCCAGUUUAGGGACUAAAACGACAAUUUUCCAAAACAGGGACCAAAACGUAAUUUUACCAAAUUUGAGGACCGAAUUGUAAAUAUAUAACCAUACUGAAAUUAUCCAUAAUUCGUCCUUAUCUUUGUCCAGAAUAUCAAUUAUGCCCAAGGUCCAAAAUUGAUUUAUCAAAAUAUUAGGGUCAAAUCGUAAUUUGUCAAAUUGGAGGACCAAACUGAAAAUAUUAAUUAUACUGGAAUUUUGUCCUUAAAUCAUCCUCAGUUCUGUUCAGAACCUCAAUUUAUGCCCCAGGGACCAAUCUGUAAAAUUUCCAAAGUUCGGGGACUAAACUGCAAUUUCCAAAAUUGAGGGACCAAACUGAAUUUUCGUCAUCUUCAACCUCAAACCCAGAAUUUCAACAGAUCACCUACUGUUAGUUCCAGAUUUAUACCUCAACUUCAUCAUUCAAUUCAACCAUAACUCAAAAUCAUCAUAUUUCUCUAAAUCUCUCCAAUUCAACUAAAUAAUCAAAUACCCACAUCAAUCAACCCUUAAUUCAAACUAAUUCAUCAAUAACUCAAAAUUCAAAACUCUAAAAUUAAUCAAAACCGAAAUUUAAAGCUAAAGAAAACAUAUUAUACAUAUUCAAGCAUAAUCUUACCUUUUACUUGUUUUCUUCACCUUUUCCUUUUCCCUUAUUUUCCCUCUUUUCUCUUCUUCUUCUUCUUCCUCUCUUCUCUCCUGCCGGUUCUCUCUCCAAAUUCAGAUCCUUCUUUUUUUUUUUUUUUCUUCUUAUAUAUAUUUAUCAACUAUUGGUCAAUUACCACACUACCCUUCAAUCAUUUAUACCCUCUUUUAAGCCUCCAAGGGCUUUAUUGUAUUUUCAAAUCUUUUUAAUACAAAACAUCACACGAGGCUUUCCUUUAAGUUUUGAUUUGAUGUCUUAGACGCUCCAUUGUUACCUUGUUUUAAUUAAGUUUGGAUUUUGAUAAGUAAUGAGUAUUAUGAAUUAUUAUUUUUGUUUUAAUUACCGAUGAGAAGUUUUGAACUAUCUUUCGGUUUCAUCAGUUUUGAAAAAUAUGAUAUUUCUGAAUAUUAUGAGCCGCUGCGUAUUUUUGAACAAAUUAUUCUUUUGAUAUGUCCGUUUUGAGGCUUAGCAUGGGUGAGGUGUCCUUUCGAUACCGCUCCUGCGUUGCCGGUCACGGACCCGGGAUUCGGGUCGUGACGCAGCCGUUCUUGUGGGUGCUUAGGACUGACUUUCCUGAUGGUAUAAGGCAAAAAAAAAAAAAACACUGUAGGGGAUAGAGAUUGCAUUGUGAAAUGAACAGCACAAAUGGAAGUGUUAGCACACGCUGCAGUUGGAGGGUUUUGGAACCAUGGUGGCUGGAAUCCUACAAUGGAAAGUUUAUCCGUAGGAGUUCCGGCGAUAUGCAAAACUAACAUUCUUCGGGGAUCAAAGGGUGGAUGCAAGAUAUGUGAGUCAUGUAUGGAAAGUAGGCUUCGAGUUUGAGCCUGAAAUGGAGAGAUGGAAGAUUGAAGAAAGAGCUGUAAGAAAACUAAUGGUGGACAAAGAAGGGGGGGAGAUGAGGCAGAUAGCAGUGGACUUGAAGCAGAAGUUUGAAUUGAGCAUAAGCGAUGCGAUGGUGGUUUUUCUUCUAAUUCCUUGAAUGGAUUAGUAGAGUUCAUAAUGUCUUGUUUUUGAUUGCCUACACUGAUUAGUUUGUGUUUGUUUCCUCACAAUCUUUUUCAAUAAGUAGCUAAGUUUGUUCGAAAAUGCAUUUUUGGUGAGAAUGCUAGUGUGGAUUUUAGAGAUGAGGGAUUUGAAUCACUGGCCAAAUUGUACAUUUUCAAAGUUAAAAGUUGUGGUUAAAUGAGUCUUCUGCGCUGGUUUUGGACAGGCUCAAUCAUCAUUUUGUCUUGCACUUUGUUAGUUUCGAUCAGUUCACUUUUAUUGUGAUGUUCUUUGUUCUUAAACCUUAGCACAAGAAAAGGAAAUGGCAGUCACAUGAAAAAAACCUUCAAGCAGCCAGCUAAUUGUCCCCAGAUUGAAGCCAUUUGAAUCCGGAAGUUCUGAAACUAAACAAGUUCGAGCUCUUCAUUUCGUUCUUUAUUAUACAAUAAGAAAUUCAUUUUGCUAAUAUGUAGUCUCUCAAUUGUGAUACUGCUAUAAACAUUUGAGCUUCUUGCACGCGUUAGCUCUAUCUUGAGAAAACAAAUGUGAAUAAAAGCAAAAUCUUCCUUGCAAAUUAAAUAAUUAACAUGUUGAAAAAAGCAUUGUAAAUUCGUUUCCUUCCUCAACUCCGACAUGGGUGAUAAAGAUAACCUCGGAAGACUAAUGCUCAUAAAAAAAAUUGCUCAAAGGAAAUAAAUUGACUGGUUGCAAAGAAAAUCCGAAGAAAAAAUAAAUCAUCAGGGCAGUUUCUGGUCUCAGUGUAGUGAAGAAGCAGCUCGAAGCCUUGAAUGUCAACACUUGGGAAGAUCGGCUGGUGGAGGAAGAAGCUUCUGAUUGGGAAGCUUUCCAUCCAGGACGACCCAAGCCAUCUUCAAGCCCCAGCUUGUGUGCACUUCUAGAUGGCAAUGCAUGAACCAUACACCUGAUGAUGUCAUCAUCCACAAAUGAUACAACUCAGCAAAACAUGGUACUACGUACGUACAUACAUAAAUCUAAUUAUCUAAGCCAGGAUAUUACUUAGCAGAUUAUAUACUUAUAAUUAAUUACCAACCUGGGUUGUCGGCUAGAAAACGUAUAGCAACCCAGCCUCCAGAGGGCACUCCCACGGUAUUCCUUUCAACGGGGUCGACAAGAUUGAAAUUUGCAGGAUCCUUUUUUGGAUCAAAGUUCCCAAAUCCUUGACCAACAACAAAGAAAUUGAAACCAUGCAAAUGAAGAGGGUGGCUCUCUGCACCGAGGAGGCUAGUGUCCUGCAUAAUGAGCUCCACGCUGGUGUUAAAAGGAAGAACAACUAGCUUUGUUCCAUUGCUCACCAUAGUAUUGUUUGGCGGGGUGCCGGUAUAAUUAAAAGGGAUUAGUGGAUUGAUUGGAAAGUUAGGGCUGUAAACGCCCUUUGAUUGACCAAAAUGAUGGGCUUGGAGUAGAGCUUUGGUUGGCAUCACAAAUGAUACAUUAUUAACUGAAGCUGCAAACUUUGUUCCGUUCGGUCCCUGACAGGUUUGGUUUUUGGAGCAUGGGUGUGUUCCGAGGCCUACAGUGAAGAAAAAUUGCCUGUCUACCUUUUGCGGCACAUUGGCAGGGAAUUCUGCACUUGCUAGGCUGCGGAGUUUUGCUGGUGAAAUUUGUAGCGAAUGAAGUGUCAUUUUAGAGGUGGUAGAUUUGGUUUAUAGAGCGGCAGUUUCUUAGGGGAGUGGCUUGAUUUAAUGGUUUUGUGUGAUUCUUCGUAUUCUAAGAUUCCAGCAACAGUUGAAUUAUCAAAAGUUCCUUGACCGGUCACGUAAGGUCUAGCAGACAUGAAAAAACUGGCGUUUGGGUGGUGGGGCUUGGUCUUUAGAAGAACAUUGGUGGUUUGUCCAGGAGCAAUGAGAAGUGUCUCGGUAUCAAAUGGUUUCACAUAAAUAGCAUCAACAUCAACGACUGUGAGUGUAUGGUUUGCUAUGGUGAAGGAAGAGCUCGUCAUUGAGUGCGGCGUUGAUCAUGCGAAGAAGGUAAGUCUUUCCUGGCUUUACCUUCAUCUUGAAAGUAUCUGCCAAGCACCAUGCACACAAGGUGAAUGAGAGAAAAACAAAUGCUCUACAUGGUUGUAGAGGGCCUACUGCGCUAACAUAUUAUAACCUUUGGCAGAGCAGUUAUACAAUGGCCCUGGAAAUCCAUUGAUGGUGUAGGCCAUCGGAGACAUUUGGACCUCCCACCCGUUUGCAUUGCCUGGUUAAUGAUUGCCUCUGGAUCUGCAUUGAACCACUCCCCUGCAAUUUAUUUGCAUUAUCGUUUUGUGUUAGCAGACAUAGGACUCCAUCAACAGGGAAACAAAUUGAUGCAAGUUUUAACGAGCUCUUAUUCAGAGUAGCUUAAUUAGUUUCUUAUAGUAGAUUACCGAAGAUGAUCGGAACUUCCUUGUGAGGUUUAGCAAAUGGAUAAGUAGUCCGAGUUUGGGAAGAAUGAUAAGUGGACCGUAGAGAGUUGAUCUUAGCCAUGAUAUAUGAGCAUGGCCACCAGAGAGUGCCUCUUUGUCCUACGAUGGUGUAGUUGUACACAUAGCUCUGUCCAGUUUGUUAUAGGGCACUGAGUUAUGUAUGCCGGUCCAUCAGCCCACCCACUUCGAAGCUGCCGGAUUCCAUGCCUGUAUCAAUGAAAUCGUUGACAGAGAUUUAGACUCAGCUUUUCUCUAUGUAAGGUUCACUAAAGUUGGAGAAAAUUGAAGGAGACCAGUCCAUAUAUAUAUACCAGUGAAUAGAGAUAUUGUUUGGGACAUGGUUAACCACUUUAAUAAGAAGACGAUCACCCUCCCUAGCAACAAUGCGAGGCCCCGGGAACUUGCCGUUGACUGUUACAAUGCUCUUGGUGUGGCAAAGGCGGGUCACAUUUUGUAACAUAACCUGCAAAAUUUCAUUUUCUUUGACUGUUAGGAAUUAAGUUAAGAACAGAGGAUAAAAAAUUUGAACAGUUUUAGGUACUUGUAGACAAUGACAUGCAUGUAACACACACAUACAUCAAAUUUGUAGUGCCUGGUGAUGGCAAGUGCAGGCUCUGGAUGGAUAGACAAGGUGACAAAUGAGAUGAGAAAAACUGCAAGAAAUGCUGGCGAUGGAAGAAAUGAAGCACCCAUUUUUAUCUGUUUCUUCUCUUCGAGAGGAGCUGCUCUUUUGGGACUGGAUGCACAUCAAAGCUUAGAAACCAGUAUAUAUAGAGAGUUGAAGGCAGGGUGUUUCGUUGAUUAGGUGACAGAAAUUGUAUAGUUUAAAAUUGAAAAGAAAACCAGAAGAAGCUACAUGAAACUAUGCAUAAUUUUCAGUUUAUUAACAGCUUUAGAGUGCAGUCAAAGCCAAUUGCCUUUGUGUCCUUCCUUUUGAAGUAAAAAACCUGUCUUCCCUACUUAAAUAAUAUUAUCCCCAUUUUACUGGCAUGUCAUUUUCCAGAUUUCUUACAUGCAUUUUCUGACUUAGGUGAAAAAGACUUCCAUUUUCAGCAACAAGUAGGGUUUCCAUUUAAACCGCUUCCACCCAUCCAUGGUCAUACUGGUGUAACAGUGAUAGGUUUCCAUUUUCUGUUGCGUAUCAAUGCUGCUACGUACCAUAACAGCAAUGCGUUGAUUAGCUAGCUCCCCACCAUCAUCAAAACUUAAGAUGGUAUUUUCAGUUGGUCGAAAUACUAAUUGCAAGCAGUUUUUGAAAGAACAAUCUUAGCCAACGUCAAGAAAGUUUAUCCAUAACAUUACGGGGAAUAUAACUCAAUUGGUCAGGCUCUGAGUUUGCUUUCCAGAUAUCAAUAGUUUGAAUGCCACAAACUUCAAGGUCACUGGAGACUUACAUAAUCAUUAAUUUCAGGGCCUCAGGGAAUCAGUUGAGAUGCAUGUAAGCUGAUCCGAACACCCACAAUUAAAAAAAAGAAGAAAAAAGAAGAAAAACAAAGUUUAACCACAUAUGUAAGACAACAGCGCAGUGCUUGCUGACAAAGCUAACCAAGAUUGUUGUUUCUAUCAAAGAAAGUCCAUUUCAGUGUUAGAUGUGUGUAAUGAAGUGCAGGCUACAGAUGAACAGGAGGGAGAUCGCACCUGAAGCAAUUUUAUCUCAAGCAAACAUAUAGUAACAUACUAACUACCGUGGGAAUAUAUAAAUAUAAUUCCCAGAGAAUUUCUACAUAACAAUGCAUGAACCAUACACCUGAUGACAGCCAUCAUCCACAUGGAACAAGUCAGGAAACCAUGGUAUUACUACAUGAAUUUAAUUAUCUAAGCUAGGAUAUUACUUAGCAAUAUAUACUUUUAAUUAAUUACCAACCUGGAUUGUCUGCUAAAAAAACUGUUCAGCAACCUAUCCUACAGAGGGCACUCCCACAAUAUUCCUUUCAAGGGGGUCGACAAGAUUGAGAUUUGCAGGAUCCUUUUUUGGAUCAAAGUUCCCAAAACCUUGACCAACAACAAAGAAAUUGAAACCAUGCAACUGAAGAGGGUGGCUCUCAGCACCAAGGAUGCUUGUGUCCUGCAUUAUGAGCUCCACGCUGGUGUUAUAAGGAAGCACAACUAGCUUGGUUCCAUGGCUCACCAUUGUAUUGUUUUGUGGGGUGCCGGUAUAAUCAAAAGGGAUUAGUGGACUGCUACCAUGCUCUUGGUGUGGCAAAGGCGUGUCACAUUUUGUAACAUAACCUGCAAAAUUUCAUUUUCUAUAGACCGUUAAAAACGAGGUUAAAAAAGAAGAAGAAGAGAGAAAAUUUGAACAAUUUUAAGUACUUUCGACAAAGUCAUGUAUGUAACACAUACAUCAAAUUUGUAGUGCCUGGUAAUGGCAAUUGCAGGCUGAGGAUGGAGAAACAAAGUGACAAAAGAGGAGAGAAAAACCGCCAGAGAUGCUGGUGAUGGAAGAAGAUAGAUAACCAUUUUUCUUGUCUGUUAUUACUUUCCAACAAGGCUAGAUGAUGCACCAAUCUAAUUACUUAAUUAUAGAGAGACAUAAAAAAAUCGUGUACAGGUUCAUAAUGGUAAUUAUGAAUUAACCGUGGAGGAUGAUGUCUUUUAAUUUGAUGAGUUAAUUGAUCCAUAUCGAGUUGCUACAUCUAAUUACUUAGAAAUAUCAAAUUUUUGCAUCACCAAUAAUACUUUGGUUAAUGUUGACAUUGGAGAUUUAAAUGGUGUUUUGAGAACCAACGGACAUAUAGAAGUUGAUGGAGAUGAUGAUAGCGAUGAAAUCAACAUAGAAGAUUGCAAUGGAAAUGACUUAGUCCGUUGUUAUAUUCUAGAGAGUUGGAAAAGAAUUACUGCAAAUACCAUUUAUUUUCUGUUUUUGUCACGACCCGAAUCCCGGAUCCGUGACCGGCAACGUAGGAGCGGUGUCGAAAGGACACCUCACCUACGCUAAGCCUUAGAACGGACAUAUCAAAAGAACAAUUUGUUCAAAAAUACGCAGCGGCUCAUAAUAUUCAGAAAUAUUAUAUUAUUCAAAUACUGAUGAAACUGAAAGAUAAUUAUUAAAACAAAAAUAAUAAUUCAUAAUACUCAUUACAUUGUCAAAAUCCAAAUGUAAUUAAAACAAGGUAACAGUGGAGCGUCUAAGACAUCAAAUCAAAACUGAAAGGAAAGCCUCGCGAACAAGCAAGGCAUACCGACCAGAACUGAAGAAGCGGAAACACUAAACAAAAUCUCAGAAACUAAGAACCUGAAAUAAUAUUAAAAAAAAAUGAGGGGUGAGUUCAACCAACUCAGUGAGGGAAUAACAUUUAAUAUACAUUUCAGAUAUUUCAGAUAACUAUAUUUAUCUUGAUAUACAUAUACAUAUACAUAUUCAUACUAAACAUAUUAUCAUAACGUAGUGGAUUACAUGUCAGAGAACAGAUGACACCCGAAGGUGACCAGAUGACACCCCGAAGGUGACCAGAUGACACCCGUCGGUGACCAGAUGACACCCGUCGGUGACCACUGUGGGAUGAUCAAU
rnacentral:lncRNA from 1 species